UCUUCUCCGUUCUGGUAGUGGGUUUUGCAUGCUGCUUUCACAUUUGAUGUUCUUUUUCCUUGUUCUUCUUUUGUUUGGCUUCUCCUGCCAAACUACAUCUGAUCUGAUGUUGUUGUGGGUUUGAUGGUUGCACCUUUCUCCUUUUCUUUUGGUUUUUUGGGUUUGAAGUCCUAUUAUCACCUUUUUUGCUUUUUUGUUCUUUCCUCCUUUCUCUUCUUGAUCUUUUGUGGGCUACAAGCUUCAUCAGAGUGGUUGUUCUUGUAGUUUCCUCUGGUAUGUCAUUUCCAGGAUUUUAGCUUCUUCCCUGUUGAAAAGACGGUUGUUGUAAAACCAUCUUUUGCAUGAAUGAGCUUAGAGAACUUUUGAUUUUAGUUUUUCAAGGGUUUGACCUAAUCAGAGAUGCCCAUGCUAGCUCUCGAUCAUUUAGUCUUUGACUGCUCUCCAUUAUCUUUCUUAGACUGUUAACCUAGUUAUCAUCCAUGUGCCCUUGAUCCCUCAAAUACUCUCUCUCUCUCUCUCUCUCUCUCUCUCUCUCUCUCUCUCUCAUGCUCCUAUACAUUCACACUUGUCUCUUAUGAAAGAGUUGAAAGAAGGUUACAUGAAAAUGCCCAGAGGAAUGAGUGAAGCUGCCAGCAUGAUCUAGCUCUGGGUGACCAAACACUCAUAAACACUUGUGUUUAUGAAGGUCAAUCAUUGUUAGGUCAUGCUGUGCCAGCCUCACUUCUUCCCAUCGUUGGGCAUUACAAUCUCCUACCUGAAAUGAAGAACAAGAGGCAGAGACUAACUUAAAUAUGCUUUCCUUCAUCUGAUGCUUUACUCAGUCCUUUUUUGUGUUCUUCCUUAGGAUGACAUUUAAUGCUCCAGUUCCUGAAGGUGCCUGAAUCUGCAAAGGAAAGCCACUUCACCUGCUGUUUCAUUGAUACCAUCAGAAGAAUGUUUUCUCUCUCAUAUAGAAAACAUGGGGUUUUGUUUUUGGGGCAUACUUGUGUGAUCAGAUGAUACUAAUAGCACAUUCUACCAUGCAAGCCAGCUUUAAGGAAGAACAGAAUUCUUGACACAUGAGAGAACAUUACAACUUGCUUCUUGGUAAUCUGCACCAUUUCCAACCAAAGAGUCUUUCAAGCACCAUCUGGUCUUAUCAGAAAACAAGAAAGAGCAGGAAAUCUUUUAUUUGUCUGAAAAUAAUUAGCACAUACAGUUUCCUAAGUGUACUGCUCUUUCUAGUGUUUGCUUGUAAUGACCAUCACAUAAUGGUUUUUCCCAACAAGUGAACAUUGUGGUGGCAUAUGCAAGUGUCAGUGUAUUUUACAGAUCAAAUUCUAUAUACCAGUCUAUAAAUUCAGGUGUACCAAGAUAUUAGAUCAUCUUGCCAGGUUUGUAAGCUCAGUUCAAACACAUCCAUUUCCAAAUAAAUUCUUUUUACAGUA